GGUGCGACGAACCAGGGCUUGCCCUGGGGCAAAGCCGCGAACGGGUGAGUAACACGUGAGUAACCUGCCCCGAUGACCGGGACAACCCGAGGAAACUCGGGCUAAUACCGGAUGUGGCGCACAGGCAUCAGCCUGUUCGCUAAAGGAAGCUUCGGCCUCCGCAUUGGGAGGGGCUCGCGGCCCAUUAGCUUGUUGGUGGGGUAACGGCCUACCAAGGCAACGAUGGGUAGCUGGUCUGAGAGGACGAUCAGCCACACUGGGACUGAGACACGGCCCAGACUCCUACGGGAGGCAGCAGUGGGGAAUCUUGCGCAAUGCGCGAAAGCGUGACGCAGCAACGCCGCGUGGGGGAAGACGGCCUUCGGGUUGUAAACCCCUUUCAGGAGGGACGAAGGCUCACCGGUGAAUAGCCGUGUGAGUUGACGGUACCUCCACAAGAAGCUCCGGCUAACUACGUGCCAGCAGCCGCGGUAAUACGUAGGGAGCAAGCGUUGUCCGGAAUCAUUGGGCGUAAAGCGCGCGUAGGUGGCCACAUAAGUCCGUUGUGAAAGUCAAAGGCUCAACCUUUGAAAGCCGAUGGAUACUGUGUGGCUAGAGUACGGAAGAGGCGAGUGGAAUUCCUGGUGUAGCGGUGGAAUGCGCAGAUAUCAGGAGGAACACCAAUAGCGAAGGCAGCUCGCUGGGACGUUACUGACACUGAGGCGCGAAAGCGUGGGGAGCGAACAGGAUUAGAUACCCUGGUAGUCCACGCCGUAAACGAUGGGUACUA
rnacentral:rRNA from 1 species